AUUGAACGCUGGCGGCAGGCCUAACACAUGCAAGUCGAGCGGAUGAAGGGAGCUUGCUCCUGGAUUCAGCGGCGGACGGGUGAGUAAUGCCUAGGAAUCUGCCUGGUAGUGGGGGAUAACGUCCGGAAACGGGCGCUAAUACCGCAUACGUCCUGAGGGAGAAAGUGGGGGAUCUUCGGACCUCACGCUAUCAGAUGAUCCUAGGUCGGAUUAGCUAGUUGGUGGGGUAAAGGCCUACCAAGGCGACGAUCCGUAACUGGUCUGAGAGGGUGAUCAGUCACACUGGAACUGAGACACGGUCCAGACUCCUACGGGAGGCAGCAGUGGUGAAUAUUGGACAAUGGGCGAAAGCCUGAUCCAGCCAUGCCGCGUGUGUGAAGAAGGUCUUCGGAUUGUAAAGCACUUUAAGUUGGGAGGAAGGGCAGUAAGUUAAUACCUUGCUGUUUUGACGUUACCAACAGAAUAAGCACCGGCUAACUUCGUG
rnacentral:rRNA from 1 species